GAGAGGGAAAAGAUCAAACUGAAAGAUUGCUAGUCUUACAGCCCCGUGGUUUAAGUCCACGGCCCGCUCG
rnacentral:tRNA from 1 species